rnacentral:rRNA from 1 species
UAGGGAAUCUUCGGCAAUGGACGAAAGUCUGACCGAGCAACGCCGCGUGAGUGAAGAAGGUCUUCGGAUCGUAAAACUCUGUUGUUAGAGAAGAACAAGGACGUUAGUAACUGAACGUCCCCUGACGGUAUCUAACCAGAAAGCCACGGCUAACUACGUGCCAGCAGCCGCGGUAAUACGUAGGUGGCAAGCGUUGUCCGGAUUUAUUGGGCGUAAAGCGAGCGCAGGCGGUUUCUUAAGUCUGAUGUGAAAGCCCCCGGCUCAACCGGGGGGGGUCAUUGGAGACUGGGAGACUUGAGUGCAGAAGAGGGGAGUGGAAUUCCAUGUGUAGCGGUGAAAUGCGUAGAUAUAGGGAGGAACACCAGUGGCGAAGGCGGCUCUCUGGUCUGUAACUGACGCUGAGGCUCGAAAGCGUGGGGAGCAAACAGG